rnacentral:rRNA from 1 species
UCGCUGAAGUGGAMCGGAGAGAGUUAACAUAACUUGGUAGCUAUAUUCUCUAUAGUCGCUUAGCUGUGGCUUUGGGGGGUGGACGCUACCUGUUGUUGCGCUGACUGCGUUGAUCAUGCUUUCCUAACAMWRUGUAGKGUUGCCCACAUUGKGGUGUCUUGCUUAUUGGGAGGUUUGUCAUGGUUAACGUCAAGCCUUAGUUUCUAGGGAGUCAGUGUGAAAGUUAACCACCUUUCCGACCCGUCUUGAAACACGGACCGAGGAGUGUAAUUUACACGCGAGUCAAAGGGCUGAGGAAACCUUAUGGCAUAAUGAAAGUAAAGACCGGUUAACCGGUUGACAUGGGAUCCGACUGAACUUCUUCGAAACGGAGCACCAUGGCCCUGUCUUGUCUGCUUGCAGAUGGGCAGCGGUAGAGCGUGUAGGUUGCGACCCGAAAGAUGGUGAACUAUGCUUGAGCMGGACGAAGCCAGAGGAAACUCUGGUGGAAGUCCGUAUCGGUUCUGACGUGC